rnacentral:rRNA from 1 species
GAAUCAACGCUGGCGGCGCGCUUAACACAUGCAAGUCGAACGAGAAAGGGGAGCAAUCCCUGAGUACAGUGGCGUACGGGUGAGUAACACGUGGAUGAUCUAUCUCUUAGUGGGGAAUAACUCUGGGGAAACCGGAGAUAAUACCGCAUAAGCUCGAGAGAGGAAAGCAGCAAUGCGCUGAGAGAGGAGUCCGCGGCCGAUUAGCUAGUUGGCAGGGUAAAGCCACCAAGGCAGAGAUCGGUAGCCGGCCUGAGAGGGCACACGGCCACACUGGCACUGAAACACGGGCCAGACUCCUACGGGAGGCAGCAGUGGGGAAUCUUGCACAAUGGGGGAACCCUGAUGCAGCGACGCGCGUGAGCG